rnacentral:pre_miRNA from 1 species
AUAGUAUUCCCUCCGUCCCAAAAUUCUUGUCUUACAUUCGUCUACAUACGGAUGUAUCUAUUCACAUUUUAGUGUUAGAUACAUUCGUAUCUAGAUAAAUGUAUGUAUCUAGAUAAAUGUAACACAAGAAUUUUGCGACGGAGGGAGUACUCG